UCUUUAAGCUGACAGCUGACUAAAUUAAUUUGACAAUAAUUAGCAUUUCAAGUUGUCAACGUUAAUGAAAUUCUGCGCCAUUGCAUACGACAAAAACGCUGCAGCAGAAUCCAUUGGCCGGCUAACCGGCAUCCUCAUCCCAAUGCCUGUCAAAAUGCCAGCCCAGAAACAGAACAGCACAGACAUGGAAAUGAAGACGGAAACCAGAGCAUGGUGCGGAUGAAGGGGAGCGGAGAGAAAAGCAAGAAAGAAAUCAGUUCGAAGGUGUCAUUUGCAUUUGCUGCGCGUUAAUUAUGUGUUAUUUAUAAUUAUGCGCCCCUCGGUCUACACAUGCGUUGACAUCGGUUGUCAGCAUUGGCAACAGACUGCCGGACUUGUCCCACUGUCGGGAUAAACUGAUUUAUUUUUUAUACUCUUGCAGCGAAGGUAUAUUCAUGUUUUAACUUAAUUUGAACAGGUCAAUAAAUUUGAAUUAUCAUA